rnacentral:rRNA from 1 species
GAGUUUGAUCUUGGCUCAGGACGAACGCUGGCGGCGUGCUUAACACAUGCAAGUCGAACGGUGACCUCGGAGCUUGCUCCGGGUGAUCAGUGGCGAACGGGUGAGUAACACGUGAGCAACCUGCCCCCGACUCUGGGGAUAACCCCGGGAAAUCGGAGCUAAUACCGGAUACGAGACGCACAGGCAUCUGUUGCGUCUGGAAAGAAUUUCGGUCGGGGAUGGGCUCGCGGCCUAUCAGCUAGUUGGUGGGGUAGUGGCCUACCAAGGCGAUGACGGGUAGCCGGCCUGAGAGGGCGACCGGCCACACUGGGACUGAGACACGGCCCAGACUCCUACGGGAGGCAGCAGUGGGGAAUAUUGCACAAUGGGCGCAAGCCUGAUGCAGCGACGCCGCGUGAGGGAU